AUGUCCAAGUAAGGAAGUGCAAUUCUGUAAACUGUAAGGAAGUGCAAUUCUACCAAGUGGUCAGGAGAAAGGGAACCAGAUAUUCAUGAGCAGCCAAACAACUACUGCAUCCACUUCCCAACCAAAAGAUAGACAGGCGUGCUUUGGAAGCAUAAAGACCUACCUCACCUUGCUGCCAACUCAAGACUGCCUUGUAUGGAUGAUCCCUCUGAAAAAAGUCUUCGAUUGCCU
rnacentral:lncRNA from 1 species